CAGAGUGGAAAAAGGUGAAAGUGUAGAACUACGUUGUCUUGGUCCACGAGGAAACCCCAAACCAAGACUGCGUUGGAUCAAAAACUACAACAGCAACUUUUUUGACAUCAAAAAAUUCACCAAGAGCGUCAACUCCUUGGAAGAUGAAACCGGCAAAAGCACUAGCUCUUUAGGAAAAGGUGUGGAUCCCAAAGGCAGCAUCACUUCUGAUUCAGUUCGUGAUCCGAUUUCCAAAAUUGACAGUGGUUUGUCUGAUGUGUCCAGUGUUGGUGUAGCGAGUGGUAGAAGUGGUAAAAGUGGUGACAGUAGUGAUUUUGUGGUUGAUAGUGGUAAUAGUGGCAGUGGUUUUGUGGACAAUAGUAAGAAUGCUCUGGAUCCUAAUGGUGAUGGCAACGUUUUGGUCACUGAUGAAGGGCAUUUGCUGAUCAAUAAUGCCAGAUUGGAGGACAGUGGCAACUACACCUGCAUAGCCGAGAAUAUUUCGGGCAGACGGAUUAGUUCCCAGGUCAUGCUGACAGUAUAUGGUGA